GUCCUUAGACAAAGUAACAUCGCUUGGUAGCGAAACGAUAUCUAAAAUCGUCAUCGUCUCAACGAUAACGACAAACAUUUCUUAGACAAAGUAACAUCGCGAUCGUUAUCGUUGUGUCGAAUCGAUUGUUCGUUAAAAAGCAAAAAUAUUGUUUAUGGUAACGAAAAUUUAGCUGUCAGUGUCACUCAAGAAGUUCAAAUCGGAUUAUUCCCGCGAGUUAUUACUGUUUUCGAAUUUUACUGAUAAGAAUAAGUGAGUUGUUGGCGAUCGCCGUACUUCGUGAGGGUGAUGAUAUCACGGUCAGCGACGUUGGAGUGCUGGGUGACGUCACGGGAUCGGCACGGUGGUCGCCGCACCGGUGGGCUUCAAGUGGUUGUGCUGCGAUGCCCAGACGUAAAUAUCCGAAAACUGCUGGGCUCAAGUGCUUCCCAAGAGAAAUAUGACUUUAUAAGUUCAAUUUCGAACUAGCCCUCGCAUAAGACAGUCCACGUUAUUUCUAUGAUAGUGAUGAAACAUGGAAUCAAGAAUGCGAACAAGUUCCCAACAAUUGUCAAUGCUGCUUGAGGAUAUAGCAAAUCAUGGUGCCCGGCGAGGCCUCUUGCUGCAUCACUAGGUUGGGUACAGUCAGACCGACUGUGGACUGAACUGACAAACAUAUUGAAUGCUGUUGGUGGUGGUGGCAGCAAGACUACAGAUAAGUGAUAAAAAGCGUGAUCCGCGGUUGAGAUCGCCAGCGACACCGCAGUCUGCUGUUUCUCCCGGCCCUCGUUUGAGCGACCCCCUUCGAGAUAGCGGCAAGCGAGUAGCUAAAAAGCUAAGAGCACACAGCACCUGAAAAUUAUAAUAAUACAGAUUUAGA